GGGUCGUUAGCUCAGUCGGUAGAGCAUCCGGCUUUUAACCGGAGGGUCGUAGGUUCGAGCCCUACACGACCCA
rnacentral:tRNA from 1 species